AUGUCUGCCACCUUCAUCAGCAACAACACGGCUAUCCAUGAGCUGUUUAGGUGCAUCUUGGGGCCAUUCAUGGCCAUGUUCAGAUGCAAGGAUUUCUUGCAAUGGUAUUUGGGUGAGGGCAAGGAUGAGAUAGAGUUCACUGAGGCUGAGAGCAGCAUGAACAACCUGGUGUCCAAGUAUCAAGAGCACCAGGAUGCCAUGGCCAAGGAGGAGGAAAUUUGGGAGGACUGGGCUGAGAGGGAAGUAGUCUAG
rnacentral:lncRNA from 1 species